GCCCGGGCUUUUCCACCGCUCCCAAUCCCAACAUAAUCCGCCCUCCCUACUUUUGAGUGCAGCCCAGCACACAGGGGACACUUCCCAAAACCGUUACUUCUUGUCAUUGUUAAGGAAAGGAUACAUGUAAGUUAUAACUACCACAAAAAUAAUAAUAAUAAUAAAAAGUAAAUGUAAUAUUUUUAAUUUUCUUUUCUUUGGAUGAAUAUGUUAUUGUGAUGUGGUAGAUGGACCCUGGCAACAUAAUUGGGUUUAAUUAUA
rnacentral:lncRNA from 1 species